UGAUGUCGAAUUGGUUGUAGUUAUAAUGCAAAGCGUAGGUACAAAAGUAAAAAUAAUACCUUGUGGUAGAUAGUCAUAUGUCAGAUCAUCUGUGAUUUCUUCAUGUUCAUCUAGUUGAUUAUUAUCAUUUGCUGAAACAGUUUGAUUAUCAUCAUCUUCUGAAGCCUUUUCUUCGUUCAUAAAUUCAGAAACUGUAGACGGUGUCGAAUUUGUUGCUGAUGGAGGUACAGUUUGAUUAUCAUCAUCUGCUGAAGCUUUUUCUUCGUUCAUGAUUACAGAAAGUGCAGAUGAUGUCGAAUUGGUUGUUGAUGGAGGUGAUCCCAAUGGAUCACUAUUUAUCUGAAGAUAUGAAAUCAAAGAUGAUGCUGAGAUGGAAGGUGAUGUUAAUGGAUCAUCCAAAACACUUGAUUCACAAUUUUUUGCUUUCUUUAAAGGCCGGUUUUCAAAAUCUUGAUCCAUGUUCUGCAAGCACAAAAAAAGGAUGGAGUCAACACAUGGUUAAAGCAUAGGUACAACAAAGUAAAAAAAAUAGAAUUAGCAUAGAUAGUCAGAUGCAAUUAGCAGAUGGUUGUUCAUCAACUUAUUAAGGUAUAUUGAUUUCAGCGUGGCAUUAGCAUAUAGUCAUCAAUUUUAUCUUGUGGUACAUUGUAUAGUGGCCAAUAUUACCAGCAAGAUAAAGACAGGAGUUGGUUGGUCUCUUCUCUACAUCAGAUAUAUAGCAGGAGAUACUUGUUACGGCGAAGUGCUUUGGAAUUAUUUAUGGUAGACAGGUCAAAUUUCUUCUUUGAUUUCGGGAGAGCCGAGCAAAUCUUUAAAAGAACUCAAUUGAUGGAGCGCUGGGCUA